rnacentral:rRNA from 1 species
ACAGUGUCUGGUGGGUAGUUUGACUGGGGCGGUCUCCUCCUAAAGAGUAACGGAGGAGCACGAAGGUUGGCUAAUCCUGGUCGGACAUCAGGAGGUUAGUGCAAUGGCAUAAGCCAGCUUGACUGCGAGCGUGACGGCGCGAGCAGGUGCGAAAGCAGGUCAUAGUGAUCCGGUGGUUCUGAAUGGAAGGGCCAUCGCUCAACGGAUAAAAGGUACUCCGGGGAUAACAGGCUGAUACCGCCCAAGAGUUCAUAUCGACGGCGGUGUUUGGCACCUCGAUGUCGGCUCAUCACAUCCUGGGGCUGAAGUAGGUCCCAAGGGUAUGGCUGUUCGCCAUUUAAAGUGGUACGCGAGCUGGGUUUAGAACGUCGUGAGACAGUUCGGUCCCUAUCUGCCGUGGGCGCUGGAGAACUGAGGGGGGCUGCUCCUAGUACGAGAGGACCGGAGUGGACGCAUCACUGGUGUUCGGGUUGUCAUGCCAAUGGCACUGCCCGGUAGCUAAAUGCGGAAGAGAUAAGUGCUGAAAGCAUCUAAGCACGAAACUUGCCCCGAGAUGAGUUCUCCCUGACCCUUUAAGGGUCCUGAAGGAACGUUGAAGACGACGACGUUGAUAGGCCGGGUGUGUAAGCG